GACAGAGGCCCCAAGCGUUAGGCGGAAUCACUGGGCUUAAAGCGUGUGUAGGCGGAUCGUUAAGUGUCUUGUGAAAUCCCACGGCUCACCCGUGGAACGGCUGGGCAUACUGGCGAUCUUGGGCCAACUAGGGGCAGUCGGAACAAGCGGUGGAGCGGUGAAAUGCGUAGAUAUGACAUAGAACACCAAUUGCGAAGGCAGCUUACUACACAGUAAUUGACACUGAGGCACGAAAGCGUGGGGAUCAAACAGG
rnacentral:rRNA from 1 species